rnacentral:misc_RNA from 1 species
UCCCCCGUGAGGGGGCAGUCUCGCCUGACAUAUAAAACAGGCAACGCGGGUUGCGUUCGUUACCCCACUGAAGGGAACAACUCAAGCCACGAACUGACGACGACCAUGCAUCACCUGCCCAACCGCCUUGCGGGGUCCAAAGUUUCCUAAGGAUUACGUUUGGGUUUCAAACCCUGGUGAGGUUCUUCGUUUAUCAUCGAAUUGAGCCGCAUGCUCCACCGCUUGUGCGGACCCCCGUCAAUUCCUUUGAGUUUCAACCUUGCGGUCGUACUCCCCAGGUGGCUUACUUAACGGUUUCCCUUGGACGCACAAUGUCAAGCAUCAUACGUCGAGUAAGCAUCGUUUAGGGCGUGGACUAC